rnacentral:rRNA from 1 species
UACGUAGGGGGCUAGCGUUGUCCGGAAUCAUUGGGCGUAAAGCGCGCGUAGGCGGCCCGGUAAGUCCGCUGUGAAAGUCAAAGGCUCAACCUUUGAAUGUCAGCGGAUACUGCCGGGCUAGAGUCCGGAAGAGGCGAGUGGAAUUCCUGGUGUAGCGGUGGAAUGCGCAGAUAUCAGGAGGAACACCAACGGCGAAGGCAGCUCUCUGGGACGGUACUGACGCUGAGACGCGAAAGCGUGGGGAGCAAACAGG